rnacentral:sRNA from 17 species
GUGGCAGUGAGGAAAAACCUUGCGGGUUGGAAACAAGGACACAACCCCGCGAGUUUUCGAA